AUCAGGUUAAAUACUGGUGUAUGUUUUUAUUUACAAUAAAAUUUUAAAUUGUUCGAUUCGAUUUAGCUUGAUA
rnacentral:tRNA from 1 species